GAUGAACGCUAGCUACAGGCUUAACACAUGCAAGUCGAGGGGCAGCGGGAUUGAAGCUUGCUUCAAUUGCCGGCGACCGGCGCACGGGUGAGUAACGCGUAUCCAACCUUCCGUACACUCAGGGAUAGCCUUUCGAAAGAAAGAUUAAUACCUGAUGGUAUGAUGAGAUUGCAUGAUAGCAUCAUUAAAGAUUUAUCGGUGUACGAUGGGGAUGCGUUCCAUUAGGUAGUAGGCGGGGUAACGGCCCACCUAGCCGACGAUGGAUAGGGGUUCUGAGAGGAAGGUCCCCCACAUUGGAACUGAGACACGGUCCGAACUCCUACGGGAGGCAGCAGUGAGGAAUAUUGGUCAAUGGACGAGAGUCUGAACCAGCCAAGUAGCGUGAAGGAUGAAGGUCCUACGGAUUGUAAACUUCUUUUAUAAGGGAUAAAGUGGAGUCGUGACUCUUUUUGCAUGUACCUUAUGAAUAGGACCGGCUAAUUCCGUG
rnacentral:rRNA from 1 species